CGGGAUGUAGCUCAGUGGUAGAGCACUUGAUUAGCAUGUGUGAGGCACUGGGUUCGAUUCUCAGCAUCAUAU
rnacentral:tRNA from 1 species